GGGAGUAUAGCUCAACGGUAGAGCGUGUGCUUAGCACACAGGAGGUCCUGGGUUCAAUCUCUAGUACCUCCA
rfam:Camelus ferus unplaced genomic scaffold scaffold1095, whole genome shotgun sequence.